rnacentral:pre_miRNA from 1 species
AAUGUAGCAUGCCCGUUUUGGUGUUUAACUCUGAUUGAUAUUUGCUAUUUAAUUACUUUUGGGUAACGGGGUGUUACAAGAUU